rnacentral:rRNA from 1 species
ACAGCAGUCGCCACGGUAAUACGGAGGGCGCGAGCGUUACCCGGAUUUACUGGGCGUAAAGGGCGUGUAGGCGGCCUGGGGCGUCCCAUGUGAAAGGCCACGGCUCAACCGUGGAGGAGCGUGGGAUACGCUCAGGCUAGAGGGUGGGAGAGGGUGGUGGAAUUCCCGGAGUAGCGGUGAAAUGCGCAGAUACCGGGAGGAACGCCGAUGGCGAAGGCAGCCACCUGGUCCACUUCUGACGCUGAGGCGCGAAAGCGUGGGGAGCAAACCGGAUUAGAUACCCGGGUAGUCCCUGUCUCUUAUAC